CAGUCGCCGCGGUAAUACAGAGGGUGCGAGCGUUAAUCGGAUUUACUGGGCGUAAAGCGUUCGUAGGCGGCUAAUUGAGUCGGAUGUGAAAUCCCCGAGCUUAACUUGGGAAUUGCAUUCGAUACUGGUUAGCUAGAGUGUGGGAGAGGAUGGUAGAAUUCCUGGUGUAGCGGUGAAAUGCGUAGAGAUCUGGAGGAAUACCGAUGGCGAAGGCAGCCAUCUGGCCUAACACUGACGCUGAGGUACGAAAGCAUGGGGAGCAAACAGGAUUAGAUACCCGAGUAGUCCCUGUCUCUUAUAC
rnacentral:rRNA from 1 species